UAGGUCUCAGUUCGGACUGCAGGCUGCAACCCGCCUGCACGAAGUUGGAAUUGCUAGUAAUCGUGGAUCAGCAUGCCACGGUGAAUACGUUCCCGGGUCUUGUACACACCGCCCGUCACACCAUGGGAGUCGGUAACACCCGAAGUCAGUAGUCUAACCGCAAGGAGGACGCUGCCGAAGGUGGGGAUUGACGACUGGGGUGAAGUCGUAACAAGGUACC
rnacentral:rRNA from 1 species